AUUUUCGAGAUUAAAAAUAAUGAAUUUGUUUCAACUGUAAGAACUACUUAUUAAAAUGCUAUGAACAUUAAAUUAAGCUGUUAAAUUCUAAAUGCUGUACCGAGUUAAAAACUACGUGUUUCAAAAAAAUAAAAUACUCGAAUCAUAAUAGGCACAAUAAAAUAUUUUAAUCAAAUACAAUCAAAGACUGGAAUAAUUGAAAAUGUAUUAUUAUACUACUCGAACGGAAAAUUAAACUAAAACCACCUGUCACCAUCAAUACACCGUAAGAGAGUUAGACAACUUUUAAUUGUAUACCUACCAGGGAACAAUGUAAACAAUAGCACGCUAUAGAAAUAAAUGUGAAUAAAAAAAUAUGUUAAUGACAACGGAAAUGUUUAAUUCACAUCCACGAAUGAGAAUAAUGAGAAUAUUUCAUAUUUGUACAAAAUAUCUAAU